GUUUAACAUAUUGAGUUCAGUUGAGGGCAGCUUCCCUGUUCUGUUAAUUAAACUUUGGGUCAUUGAAACUGGCUAAUGGGAAAAAAAUAAAAAUCAAUGAAA